AAAAUGUCAAAUAAUUUCUGGAACUUUAUCGCUUUUAUUCUUUUUAAUUUUAGCGUUCAACAAACCAAUUCAGCUUGUGAGAAAGGAUGGGCUAGUUUUGGAGGAAAAUGCUACUACUUCCUCUUGGAUGAAAUGAACUUUCUAGCGGCAAUGACAGCAUGUCACAAAGCUGGCGCUGAUGUGCUGGAAUUUCACAAUCCUUUGGAGGAGAAAUGGAUUGAUUUACAGUUUCGACUCAGAGGU